rnacentral:lncRNA from 1 species
UAGCAGGCCAUGGCGGCGGCUGCUGCGGCUGUGGCGGGUUGGUUGGGCUGGGUGCUUGCUGCGUUCUGUCUGGGCAGCACCGCAGGGGAGGCGGCGCCGGGCGCGGGACUGCUGAGCUUCUGCACGGAGGAGGACGGUGCUCCGGGCGCGGGCUCCCUACGCGGAAGGGCAGCGCCGGAGGCCACUUUGUGCUUGCGACUCUUCUGCCCAGGCUUGGCCAACAGUUCCUGGACCUGGGUAGCCCCGGAGGGCGCAGGCUGCCCCGAGGGCGGGCGGGCCACGGAGCCCUCGGAGGCGGCCGC